rnacentral:rRNA from 1 species
UAGGGAAUCUUCGGCAAUGGGGGCAACCCUGACCGAGCAACGCCGCGUGAGUGAAGAAGGUUUUCGGAUCGUAAAGCUCUGUUGUAAGAGAAGAACGUGUGUGAGAGUGGAAAGUUCACACAGUGACGGUAGCUUACCAGAAAGGGACGGCUAACUACGUGCUAG